ACACGUACCUGAAUCUUUUGCUUGACUGAUGAGUGGCGGGUUAACUGGCAGUCAGUCGUCUGAAACACCAGUAGACGAAGAUGUCUUCAGGAAGAGAAAUUCUCUGAAGCUGUGGGAUCUCUGUGUCUUUUGCUGAAGUGUUUAGCAAGAAUACAGCUCAACUAAAUCCAGUUGCAAAGUUGCUUAUUUACCCUGGUGAAUGAAGAAAGGUGUUUCGAUGUCAGCAAAAGACAGCACACACACUGGACCUGGAGGAUACUUUUACCUGGAGGAAACAAAAACACCAUUUUUAACAGACCCAAUGUAACCCACAUCAACUAUAAUGCAACAGGACCAGUGGCAGACAUGUCUUAUCCAGCCUGUUUGUAAUCUGCUUUAAAGAGGGAGGAGCUGACUACGGAGGCCUGGGGGAAGUGUAACACUUUGUUAUGCUCAGCUAUUGACUGUAUGCUAUUAUCAGUCUCAAUACCUGGAAGGAAAUUCACUGACUGAAGAUAUCUUUACCAGCUGGUGCUGCAGACGACCACCUUGUACCCAAACCAGCAACCAACUCACAAGUCAAGGGAAUCAUGAGGGUUCAGAGUGCCUGUUUGCUGCUGCUGCUGCUCUGUGCUGCUGUGCUCUCGCAAACUUACAAUUAUUUCAAAAGGAAACACAUCCUUCCAGAAAACGGCUCUCGUAAAUGUGAUGACAUGAUGAAAAACGUUAAUGGCAUAAAUCAGUGCAAGCGAAUUAAUACGUUUAUCAACCAGAAAGCAGAAAAGGUUAAGGCUUUGUGUAAAGGUAAAAAGAAUGAAUACAUCACCCACAAAUUUGAUGUUAUUAACUGUAAGAGGAAAAGUGAGAAGCCUUGUAAAUACAAGUCUCUAGUACUCAAAGGAAAGAAGACUAAGAUAAAAUGUGAAAAUGGCCUACCUGUACAUCUUGAGAGAGGCAUAUAUGACAAUUUUGAUUAUGACAGUGAAAAUUAAAGAUUGUUUUUUCAGUUUUCUUUGUAAUGCUGUACGAUCUUUACCUUCCAGUAUAAAGUGCAUUGACGCAACUGUUGUUGUGAUCUGGCGCUGUAUAAAUAAAACUGAAUGGAACUAACAAAGAUUCAGAAAAAUUUUACCUGUGCCACAAACCCUUUAAUGUUGCCUUUGCUAAGUUUUGAUUAUUUGUUUUCAAUUGUUUCAUUGUUUAUUCAUGCAUUUUUUGUACUUCUUUGUGUAACUUUUAUGGGUCAAAAAUGUUAAAAAUGUAUUUGCAAGUGAUGAAAAUAAACUGCAUUCAUCUUUUGCUCUAAAGCACAAAAUGAGCAUGUCUGAGUACUUCUCUGAGGACGGUCUCUGGACAUUGGUUCUCUCUAUGCAUAUCUGGUCUGCAGCUACCUGAAAUGCUUGUCUGAAGUUAUUUUUUGAUCAUUCUAAAUCUGUGAAAAACACCAAAAAUGAUUUCAUGUUGUACAAUCCACCUGGCGGACAUUCCUAACGGCGUCACCAGGGUGUCAUUUGACAUCUGUGUGAUAAAUAAAG